rnacentral:lncRNA from 1 species
GGAUCAAGCCAGAAAAAAUUAAGGAGGGCAUUGUCAUUGUAGCCCGUAGAAGAUCAUCUUUGGAACCGACAGUGUGUGAAGCACCACAUAUGGGCUAAGUUCUAAGGAAUGGAAGGGUGGGACAUAUCUGGAACAGAUGGAGGUGUUGAAUGGAGAAAUGAUGAUGUUCUGCCAGAGUGCCAGGGGAGCAGGAAGUAGGUCCUGCAGAAAGGAAAGGCCUCCUUCACUGCAGAAGCUUAGCCAAUAUUUGUCGAACAGAAUUUAACCCAGGGGUAGUGGGGCAUGGAAGGUCAAUUGUCCCCUGAGAUCACUUAAUAACCUACUUCAAGUUUGUCAGUCAAGUGUUUUGGUAGCAAAAAAAAAAAAAGGGGGGGGGGGAAGGAGAUCAAGACCUCCGAGAGAAUAAAGAUGGAAAAGUAAGAUUGACGUGGGUGGAUCACAGGGAGGAGAGAGAGACUGUGGAAAUGAAGAAAACGACAGGAAGACAGUGGGAUAGAACAGGAUGAUUCAGCUUUUUAAUACAGGUACGUGAAGACAGCUUACCGUUAAAUGCAAUGAUUCCUGUGUGUGCGUCAGAGGGAAGAGGGAAGGAGGGAAAGGAGGAGGAGCAGGAUAAAAUGGAGAAGAAGAGAGAGAGAGAGGGAGAAGGAAUAGAAGAGAAGAGAAGAAAGAGAAGAGAAGAUGGUGAGAUGGAGCCAGGGAGAGAGGGAAGGGAGAGACAGAGAGAGAAGGAGGUGGGGGAGAAGGGGAGAGAAGGAGGUGGCAGGGAAGAAGGGAGGAAAGGGGGAUGGAGGGAUGGAUGGAGGGGGAGAGAGAAAGAGAGAACAUGCACAGAGAACAUGAGUGGUGAAGCAUCCAUAGACUAUUAAUGCAGUUGAGUUUCAUUCCCCCUUGCUUCUUAUAGCGUGAACUUCUUGCCGCGCUAGGUGUGAUUUUACGCAAUGGCUACUAAAAUAAAAGAACAAAUUAAUUCGUCUCAUGUCCAAAAAAGGAUAUAGCAAUCUGUUCCAACCUUGGAGGCAAAUCUGGUUGUGCUGGACCUAUUGAGAGUGGUG